GAAUUCGCCCUUAGAGUUUGAUCCUGGCUCAGGACGAACGCUGGCGGCGCGCCUAACACAUGCAAGUCGAACGAGCGAGAGGAGGUUUACUUUCUCAAGCGAGUGGCGAACGGGUGAGUAACGCGUGAGGAACCUGCCUCAAAGAGGGGGACAACAGUUGGAAACGACUGCUAAUACCGCAUAAGCCCACGACCCGGCAUCGGGUAGAGGGAAAAGGAGCAAUCCGCUUUGAGAUGGCCUCGCGUCCGAUUAGCUAGUUGGUGAGGUAAUGGCCCACCAAGGCGACGAUCGGUAGCCGGACUGAGAGGUUGAACGGCCACAUUGGGACUGAGACACGGCCCAGACUCCUACGGGAGGCAGCAGUGGGGAAUAUUGCACAAUGGGGGAAACCCUGAUGCAGCGACGCCGCGUGGAGGAAGAAGGUCUUCGGAUUGUAAACUCCUGUUGUUGAGGAAGAUAAUGACGGUACUCAACAAGGAAGUGACGGCUAACUACGUGCCAGCAGCCGCGGUAAAACGUAGGUCACAAGCGUUGUCCGGAAUUACUGGGUGUAAAGGGAGCGCAGGCGGGAAGACAAGUUGGAAGUGAAAUCCAUGGGCUCAACCCAUGAACUGCUUUCAAAACUGUUUUUCUUGAGUAGUGCAGAGGUAGGCGGAAUUCCCGGUGUAGCGGUGAAAUGCUUAGAUAUCACGAAGAACUCCGAUUGCGAAGGCAGCCUGCUAAGCUGCAACUGACAUUGAGGCUCGAAAGUGUGGGUAUCAAACAGGAUUAGAUACCCUGGUAGUCCACACGGUAAACGAUGAAUACUCGCUGUUUGCGAUAUACAGCAAGCGGCCAAGCGAAAGCGUUAAGUAUUCCACCUGGGGAGUACGCCGGCAACGGUGAAACUCAAAGGAAUUGACGGGGGCCCGCACAAGCGGAGGAACAUGUGGUUUAAUUCGAUGAUACGCGAGGAACCUUACCCGGGCUUAAAUUGCAGAUGAAUUACGGUGAAAGCCGUAAGCCGCAAGGCAUCUGUGAAGGUGCUGCAUGGUUGUCGUCAGCUCGUGCCGUGAGGUGUCGGCUUAAGUGCCAUAACGAGCGCAACCCUUGUUGUCAGUUACUAACAGGUUCCGCUGAGGACUCUGACAAGACUGCCAUCGUAAGAUGUGAGGAAGGUGGGGAUGACGUCAAAUCAGCACGGCCCUUACGUCCGGGGCUACACACGUGUUACAAUGGGGGGUACAGAGGGCCGCUACCACGCGAGUGGAUGCCAAUCCCCAAAACCUCUCUCAGUUCGGACUGGAGUCUGCAACCCGACUCCACGAAGCUGGAUUCGCUAGUAAUCGCGCAUCAGCCACGGCGCGGUGAAUACGUUCCCGGGCCUUGCACACACCGCCCGUCA
rnacentral:rRNA from 1 species